AAGUUAUUUAUGAAAAUGUGCUUAUUUAGUUUUGGAAUUAAUGCAUUACAGCAUAAUAUAAUUACAUUAUGAUCAUAUUUCUAUAGCUAUUGGUUUUUCUAUACUAGCUGUGCAUUUCAAUACGUAUGCAAUACUCACAAAAGCAGUAAAAGCAUACUUGAUAUCAAGUAACCGAGUACAGUAAUGUGUGUUAUGCAAAGCAUUUUUACCCAAAGAGUUUUGAAGAAAAAUUAAGAAAUGGACAGCGCUGUGGUCAAGGCUUUGAAAAUACUGUCAGGAAAAUGAUGAAUUACAAUAAUAAUAGUAAUCGGCCCCACCGUUCAGACAACCCAACCAAAAGCUUAAGGUUCCAAUUAAUCAACGUAAGAGCUUGAGUUGUAUCCAAGCAGGAUGUAGUCAGUGGCAGCCUGACCAUUUACCAGAAAAUGAAGACGAGACAACUCAAGAAGAAAAAAGAGUAUGGUUAUUAUCUUAUAACUUAUACGAUCAAACUGAUCCUCCAAUGUUAGAAGUAAUCAAAGUAAAUUUUUGUAACUCAUACGUAACUCAAAGAUUGUUUUUAAAUGACAUCAGUAAAGAAAAACAUUUAUUACCUUAAGUUCGUGAGGUAUGGCCAUGUCUUACACAUAAACCAUUUAUUUUUUGGCAUUACGAAAAAUUGACUGGUCACACAAUAGACGAAAUUGCUGUUAAUAUUAAAGAUGACGUUCCCAGAAUUUUGUCUUAUGGGAUUAUGAAAAGAUUGACAGACAUAAAUUUCACCGAUACAAUUGAAGCAAACAUUUCAAAGAACAAUUGGAUACAUUGAUUAUUCGAUGUCCUGCAGGUACGGAGAGCUUCGAAACAGGUCAAAAUCCAGGUCCACAAUUAUGUAUCAUAGAUAACGAACCAACAGAAUAUAUCAUUAUAUUAAAUAAAGAUAUUAUUGAGUAUGCAAGUAACUACGUUGAAGCUCUGCAAUUUUUAAUUUCACUGUACUUUGUUUUUAACCGACCAUAUCCAGAUGCUCAUAACAUCUAUUAGAAUUUGUACAAAUGAAAUUUUGCAACAUUUUUUCCUCUGACGCAACAAGAUCUACAUCAAAAACAGUAACUAGCAAAGUACUUACUCUCUUCAACAAACUAAACAAAGUUGUUCUCGGAGACGUUGUUAAUGUAAAUUAGUACUUUACUUUUCGACGGUUCAUUUUUGUAAUUUCUAUAA